AUAAAAAACCAAUACAUGCAUUUAAAGCAUGAAUGUUGGUGAUUUACAGUAACUUAGCAAAUCGCAUAGUGUAAAAACAGGCGAUAAGUCAUUCAAGUUUCUGACCUAUCAGCUUUCGACGGUAUGGUAUUGGCUUACCGUGGCAGUUACGGUUAACGGGGGAUUAGGGUUCGAUUCCGGAGAGGGAGCCUGAGAAACGGCUACCACAUCUAAGGAAGGCAGCAGGCGCGCAAAUUACCCAAUUCUAACAGCAUAAGAGAGGUAGUGACAAGAAAUAACAAUACAAGGUAUUUAAAAUGCUUUGUAAUUGGAAUGAUAGAAAUUUAAACACUUUUUAAAGUAUCAAUUGGAGGGCAAGUCUGGUGCCAGCAGCCGCGGUAAUUCCAGCUCCAAUAGCGUAUAUUAAAAUUGUUGCAGUUAAAAAGCUCGUAGUUGAAUUUCUGCUAAAAAUAACCGGUCGGCUUUUAAUAAAAGUGGUAUCCUGGUGUGUUUUUAGCAAUAGCGUCCUUUGAAAUGUUUUUUACUUUAUUGUAAUAAACCAUAUUCAGGAUUUUUA
rnacentral:rRNA from 1 species